rnacentral:lncRNA from 1 species
AUGCAUGACAAGUGGCACUUCCACUGCUGCAGGCUCAAUGAGUCUUCUUCAGAAGAUGUGCCCAUGAGCAGUUGCAUUAGAUCGAAUAAGAGAGCAGCAUAUCAUUGUAUGGGAAUUGGAAUGAAUGAAGCAGAGAGGAUAUCUGAUAAUGAAAGAUGGGACAGUCCCCUAAGAACCUGCAUAGCCCUAGCUACAGAACUGGCUGGCACAGCAUAGAGCAAGUCCCAGGGAUUUGAAAGCAGAUGAAAGACUUUUCAGCAUCUGCAGCUGAAGUGGAAGCACGAGGGAUCUGCCUGGCUCAGAUCUCCCCUGAUCAUUUUGCUGAAGAAGGUCACAAUUCUGCUGCUGUCUGGACUGUGCUAGUCACCUCUUGCAAACAUUCAGCUAAACUUCCAUCACUGAAAGCUAAGCUACUGACUGAAACUUUUUAUAUGACUCUGUAAGAGCAUGGAUCCAGGACACCACAUCUCUUGGUACAUGGGAAAUAUUGAAAGGUGUGUAGGCUGUUGUGGGCUGGUCUACCAGAACGACUGGCCUUCAAUAGCUAUCACCAGUGCAUGAAGCUGCUGUGGUGAUGACGGCAGGAUCAUUUCCAGGAGAUAUCUCUUCUCAGGCGGUCUACUCCAAAUGUGUUGUCAGGAGAAGGCUGUCAAGUUACUACUGAAAGCUUAAAGGCAUUCCUAUGAGAACUGGAGGGACGAGGGGACAAAUGAUGAUGGUAUGUCCUUUCUUUGAUGGCAGUUUAAAUUCUGUAGCAUUAUUCCAUGGCAAGUGCUAUGGCCGAGGAAAUGUUUACUGGCACUAAUGCUCUCUUAAGUUCUGAUGAGCAGCCUUAUUGCUUGUGCUGUUGCCAUGUGGGAGCUCAUGGCUCAGCAGGGCUGGACCUAUUCAGACCCUGUAUGUUUGUUGAGGUGCUGUAGCAGCCAGUGACACGCUAGGCAGUUCUCCUAUGUGUAAACCUAGUGGUCAGACUGGUGGGAUGUAGGUAAGUUCUUGGUUUUACAGUAAUUAAAAAAACAAGGAGCUAUUCACAAAAACAUCUAGGUCAAAUUAAAUAUGUUUGUAUUCAAGUCCUCCAUCAUUUUUAAUUAUUUGUCUUCACUCACUGUGCAGUUGUUGUAUGCAUUGUUCUGCAGAGGUGAAUUUCUGUAGUGUGUCAGCUGAUCCUUUUUUUCCCUUGCCUAUAUUAGCCAGCAGAGUUUUUGUGCUUGAUUAUUUAACAUUUGCAAAACUCGUCUGAGCUCUUUGAAGCACAAAAACUGCCAUUUACUUCAAGCCAUGGCUGCUAUGGUCUGCAGCGUUUCUGAAGUGUAUGCUACUUGUUUUUUUUACUAUUCAGGACAACUGAAGAUCAUAUGAAAGUUUAUUUAGAAGAAGCUAGCCACGGUGUUUUGCUUAUAAUUAGUCAGCAAGCAA